GACGAACGCUGGCGGCGUGCUUAACACAUGCAAGUCGAACGGUAAGGCCCUUCGGGGUACACGAGUGGCGAACGGGUGAGUAACUCGUGGGUGAUCUGCCCUGCACUUCGGGAUAAGCCUGGGAAACUGGGUCUAAUACCGGAUAGGACCACUGCCUGCAUGGGUGGUGGUGGAAAGCUUUUGCGGUGUGGGAUGGGCCCGCGGCCUAUCAGCUUGUUGGUGGGGUGAUGGCCUACCAAGGCGACGACGGGUAGCCGGCCUGAGAGGGUGACCGGCCACACUGGGACUGAGAUACGGCCCAGACUCCUACGGGAGGCAGCAGUGGGGAAUAUUGCACAAUGGGCGCAAGCCUGAUGCAGCGACGCCGCGUGAGGGAUGACGGCCUUCGGGUUGUAAACCUAUUUCAGCACCGACGAAGCGCAAGUGACGGUAGGUGCAGAAGAAGGACCGGCCAACUACGUGCCAGCAGCCGCGGUAA
rnacentral:rRNA from 1 species